AUGGGCAAUUUUUCUGAAUAUUGCACAUGGGACAUUUUUAACAGGGCAUCUAGCACUUUAAAUCAAUUAGAGGACAAACUAGCUGUUUGGAGGUCUGCGUACAGCGUCAGCGGCAUUGCUACAUCUGCCUUGUUGCAUAUCUUAGCCAGCCACAAGCCACCAGAGGACUUUGGUAAACUGCCUGUUGAUGGUAGGACCCUAACUCGCCAUACUUGCAGAAUUAAUUCGGAAGGAUUUCAAACAUUUAACAACAUCGCUGGUGGUACCUACAUUCACUUAGGUAUUGUGGCUCUCUUACUCAUUAUUCUUGAAAAUGCAUCUGAAAGUUUCGAUCAUAUUCGUUUACAAUUUGGCAUUGAUGGUCUGCCGUUGUGGAAAAGUUCGCUGCAUCACUUAUGGCCGAUUCUUUGUCGGAUUAUUUCUCUUCAGUCUGUGAAACUCAUAGUCUUUCCUGUGGGGAUAUGGUCAGGUAACCUUACCAAGCCAGCAUGCAGCAAUUCAUUUUUAUGGAGUUUAGUUGAUGAACUCAAGCUGUUGCUUGAGAAUGGUUUCUUUUUUCGUGGAAAACACAUAACUGUCUCAUUGGAAAAUAUAAUUGCCGAUGCUCCAGCCAAGUGCCUGAUUUUGAGUACCGUCUACUUCAAUGGGUACUCUUCUUGUACACGGUGCAAAAUCCAUGGCCUAUACGAUGGUCGUACUUAUUUUCCUUUGGCAGACUGUGAGACUGCCGAGCCAAGGAAACACGAAGAUUACAUUGCUGCCACGGAUAAAGUUUACCAUAAGGAUAUCACUAUUUUGACGGAACUUCCAGGAGUAGACAUAUAUUUGCAGGUCCCGUUUGACUACAUGCAUGUGGUGUGCCGUGGAGUGUGCAAAACUCUAAUGGCACUUUGGCUUGCUGGAGAUAGACCCUAUAGACUAUCACCAGCCCAUUGCCAGAGGAUAUCCUCCAAUUUCCUAGCAUGCCGAGAGUUCGUGAGCAAGUGUUUCCAAAGGAAACCUCGAGCUUUAACUGAGUUCAGAAAUUUCAAAGCCACUGAAUUCAGACUUAUUGUAUUGUAUAUUGGUCCUGCUUGCUUCAAAAAAUCGUUGAGCGCUGCUGCGUUUACUAAUUUUUUGUGCUUGCAUAUUGCCAUCCGCAUUCUGGCUUCUCCUAAAUAUUGUCGGAUCGAGGAAUUCAGGGCAUAUGCUGAUAAGUUGUUGAAGAAAUUUUUAGAGCAGUUCUGUAUCCUAUAUCAUGAAAAAUUUUUAACUCACAAUUUUCAUGGUUUGACUCAUCGGACAGGCGAUGUAGAAAAUUUUGGUGAGCUCGAUAACUUCAGUGCUUUCUGUUUUGAAAAUGCCCUUGGCUCUUUGAAGAAAAAGAUUCGGAAAGGAGAUCAGUCUUUGCAACAGUAUGUAAACCGCUUUCUGGAGGAUUCAGUCAUGGAAAUUAAGCUUGCUUCAUCAAUUUUAUCAGAACCUAAACCAGAUAACCUUCAUGAUGGAGGACCAUUAUUAUCUGGUUGUCAUGCUCCGCAGUAUAAAACUGUUUCGUUCAAGAAUUUUGAACUCAGUGCUUCAAAAGAGGCCGAUUCAUUUUGUUUUGUUUCAGAUAAAAUCAUUGUACAAGUUCAGAAUAUUUGUUGGGAAGACAAAUCAAAUUGUCUAGGCAUCGUUGGUAAAGCUUUUCUUCAGCCCAGAGAUUUUUUUGAUGUCCCAUGCAAAAGUUCACUCCUUCAAAUCUUCAGAGUUUCCAAGCGAAAAAUGUCCUCACUGCAAUUUUGGCCACUUUCAGUUAUCAGUUUUCAAAUGAUGGCAGUGGUGCAUGAGUCUGACCUUGUCAUGUAUCCACUUCUCCACACACAGCUUUAA
rnacentral:lncRNA from 1 species